rnacentral:rRNA from 1 species
UCAGUAGCGGCGAGUGAAGCGGCAAGAGCUCAGAUUUGAAAUCGUGCUUUGCGGCACGAGUUGUAGAUUGCAGGUUGGAGUCUGUGUGGAAGGCGGUGUCCAAGUCCCUUGGAACAGGGCGCCCAGGAGGGUGAGAGCCCCGUGGGAUGCCGGCGGAAGCAGUGAGGCCCUUCUGACGAGUCGAGUUGUUUGGGAAUGCAGCUCCAAGCGGGUGGUAAAUUCCAUCUAAGGCUAAAUACUGGCGAGAGACCGAUAGCGAACAAGUACUGUGAAGGAAAGAUGAAAAGCACUUUGAAAAGAGAGUGAAACAGCACGUGAAAUUGUUGAAAGGGAAGGGUAUUGCGCCCGACAUGGGGAUUGCGCACCGCUGCCUCUCGUGGGCGGCGCUCUGGGCUUUCCCUGGGCCAGCAUCGGUUCUUGCUGCAGGAGAAGGGGUUCUGGAACGUGGCUCUUCGGAGUGUUAUAGCCAGGGCCAGAUGCUGCGUGCGGGGACCGAAGACUGCGGCCGUGUAGGUCACGGAUGCUGGCACAACGGCGCAACACCGCCCGUCUUGAA